rnacentral:lncRNA from 1 species
UCCAAGAACUCAAACAGCUCAACAACACCAUCUCUAAAAGCAAUUGUAGCCUCAGAGACAGAUUUCUUUAUUGCAUCAUAGGUAACACCUCCCUCGAUAAGAAGACCAUGUGUCUUCUCCCACCUGCAGGCUCAAAGAACAUCAAGUUUUAAAGUUGCAGGAUAUGAAAUCUUAGGUGCCUGUGCACUUAACCAACUCAAAUGUUAAUUAAUUAAAAAUGAGUAAACAAGUAAUACAGUUAAAGGUACACCACAUGGCAGGAAUUUGUCUACAUAGAAGCAAAUAAUAAAUUUAUGACUUUUAGGUAAGUUUUCUCAGUACUUAAGAAAUUUAAUAAACAACAGAUCCACAUAACUGAAGUGGCCAAAGAAGGACCAAGUAAUGGUCUUUUCAUCAUUACUAAUUUAAACAUGCAAGUCCAGUAAUCCAUAAACAGGGUAUUCACAUUUACUGAAACUUUCUUCCUAGUAUCAACUAUCAGCUAUCAGGUUAGACAUGGAAACAAAGUCAUUAUUCUAAGUGGUGCAUUAAGUGUUUAGGAUGGCCUGUGUGAGCUAUGACAUAAGAUAUUAUAUGAGCACCAUCCACCCCACAAGUGCUCCUUCUGUAUGCCUUAUUUUGGGGGCUUAGCAUGCAUGAUUUUGGCUCCUGGCUAACAUGCUGUUAAGUCAAAACCAUGUAUGUCAGACUCGUUGGUGCUUCUGGAAUUUUCGGAAGCAAGUACAUCCGCAUACCACUCUUCCAUCAGCUUCGUUUUCUCCUCGAUGGGAAUGGUUGGCGAGAUCUCCAAGGGAUGAUAGUAUUCAUACAACGCUUGCCUCCUGGCAUCAUACUCCGCGUUCCCCUGCUGUAGCAAUCCAUGGCUAGCUAACCACAACAAAGCCAGGAAACCUAAUCAGAACCAACUCCAUUUCCACGUACUAAAUCAGAGGAAGGGAUUCAUGUAACCUACUCUGCCCACGGCGGCCAUCAAUCCAGUACCUCGUGAGCGUGCCGUCAAAAUCGGCAAUCACCUAAAAGUUUCAAGAAAUGGGCACUAGAUCAAACACUUAGAUUGCAUAAACAAAGGGGGAGUAGAGGACAAAAGAUCGGGCUCCUCGCCUGGAGUUUACUACAGCCGGCGCACCGGAUUGCGGUCUUCUUCUCCACCAGCGACUUCGGGUCUCGGACGGCGACACCUGGCGGCGACAUGGUAGUGGAAUCCAUCGAACCUCCACCGGCUCGCGGAGUUCCCGGACGGAAGCACCGGAAUGCAGGGGGAGGGAAGGUUGUGGGAGGAAAGCAGGGGAGGGCGAUGGAGGCGGCGCUUGCGAGACUGGCGGCGUGGUGGAUGCGGCAGAGUCCUCCGGGCCUCAUUAAGAUGGGCCGGGCGAACCGAAACCGCAGCAAUCGAUUUCGCCCCUCCGGGCUUCGUGUUGUGCGCUUCUUAUUCUAAAUUAUUUACCACAUUAGCUAAAUAAGGAAAAAAAUCCGUACGUAAAUUUUAAAUUAUUUAAUAUUUACAAAAAAAAAUAAAAAAAAAUCAUUACAUUAAAUGACAUGAAUUCGAACACAAUAAUGUAUUAAUGCAUUAUCCAAUUCGAAUGUCUCAAUAGAUAUCUAAUUAUUUAGCAUAUUAUCUACCUUGAAAUUAUAUGAAUGUGAGAAGGUUUUUCAUCGAUUUAUUAUUAUUUUUCUGACUGAUCUCAUCAUUUCUAGGAAACGGUGAACUACAUAAUUUCUUGUUUGAGCAUCAUAAGCACAUCUGCAUCCAUCAAAUAUUUGCAUAGGUUUUGAUUAAUCGAUUGCUUGAUUUUUUUGGUUCUCAAGAAUUACAACCUCAAGUUGUUUAUUUUAUUUGUUUUCUUCGUUGACAGAGAAGACAAUAACCAAUUGUUUCCUGUAAGCGAAUAGUAAAUUUACCCACACGGAGAAAAUGCAUUAGUAACACAUAAGAACUACGGCUAUAUUUGAUAAUUUCUAAAUCUUUCUUGAAAGAUCAAACAAUAUCAAUCGGAAACAUAUGACUAACGGAAAGAUGCAAUCCUGGAUGAUAUCGGUGAGCAUUGGAAGUCAUAGAAUGCACAUGCACAAGGUUGUGAAUGGCCUGCAGUUUCUAAGUCACAGAGCUUUGCUCUAUGAGAGUACCAUGGUGAAGAUGGUUGUGAGAGUAGCUCAUAAGCAGUAAACUAAAUGCGAACUGAGGUCGAUUGGUUUUGCUUAUCUUUGCACUGGGCACCUCCACGAACAUCAUCAUCAUCAUCAUAUUUUCCCAACGAAAUCUCUCUAUUCUGUUGAGGAAAAUCUUCUAUUGAGGGAAAUUAUUUCUCCUAAUUUAUAUAAAUAGAAGAGGGAACAUGAAUAAAGCUUCUUUAAUAAUUAUUCUUAUCUUAUAUUAUUUUCUUCGGUUAACAUCACGUAAUGUUGUUUCCUCGCACUCAUCCAGCUCCAUGUCGGUCAUCUGAUAUAGGUUUUGGAGGAAGCACAGCCUCGAGAGUUUUGCACUGAUCUGGUGUCAGUGAAUCCGGGAAGGCCACCGUAAUGCGGAUGUAGAGCUUCCCCCUCACGAAGGGUCUCCGGUACAUUGGCAUUCCCUCGUCAUUUGUUGCCUUGAAUUGAUCUACAUCGAUAGCUAUAUGUCAUUGAUUUAAAGCCUGGAAUGAGCAUAUUAAACUUUUGAACAGGCUAGUUUAAAUUUCAUACGGGGCUUCACAGCUUCACCAGUGUUCGACUUGAUGAAUAGUUUAGUUGCCUGUUAUCUAAAUGGGUUAAAACGAACCGGAAGCCACAGAGAGCUUUAGUACGGGAUAAUGUGUGGUACUAAAAGAUAUCGCCUCCCUUUCUCUUGAACUUUGGAAGAUCCUUCUGCUGCAGUACAAACACUAUCUCCGGUAACCGUGUCAGGCUACAACACACAUGAGCACACAAUCUAGGUUAGCACAUCAAGAACAACAAGAAACUAGACAUAAUUAUGCAUGGAUUAAUGUUUUACAGAACAUACCGCCUCAUCUGUUGUCACUCAUCAUAAAUAAAUAAAUAUAUUUAUUUAUUUAUUUCUUCUUGCAAUGACAAGAAGAAGGCAACAUUUCCAAGUUUUCACUCAUCAUUCCUACUCCAUAAAGCAGUCAGAACUGCAUUUUGAGGAGUAAGCGAUACUAUUGUAUUAGUAUGUGGUUAUUAGACUAGAAUAAGCUAUUAUUUUGAAUAAUUUAUUUAAAGCAUCCUCAGUAAUCUCUUUUACCAUCUCUUAGGAAUAAUUUGUUUUUUUAAAUAUUCUUGUAUUAAUUUGACACACUAGUUUGACCAAUGAAUCAUGACUCGCGGUUUGGUCCGAUCAACGUCCACCUUUAGACAAUUUGUUCUUAAAUUUACUGUUUGAUCCACUGGUCCGACAGGACGAAUCGGGUUUGAUGCACGAGACUCCCGUAAUCCACAGCCAAAGAACAAUGUUAUCAGCGCCGACCAUCCUAAUGCUCUAGACAGAUCUUGCUGUUGUCAAACCUCCAGCCACCAUAUGACAUGUUAAAUUUGGUUGGAUAAGCAAAACACCCAACAGAUCAGUUUGACUUAAUCAAGGUUUUUGUCAGUUGACUGUCGUAAACCCUCGGGCUAGAAUAACACAGACAUCUAGUUUUUAGUAUACACACUGGCUGUAAGACUAUGUAGUGGUUUCUUAAAGUCUGCAACAAGAGUUGCAUGCAAACAAUGCAUAUUACAUAAUCCAAGUAUUCACGAAGUAUUUACACAUGCAUUAUGUAGAAAUUGUAGCCUUAAUCUGCUCAGCCAACUUGGAUUCUGACAAUCCCCAGCUCUAAAUACAAUGUUUCUAUUCCAGCUUUCUAGAGAGUAAUAUUAAUAUUCAAGGGGAAUGAGAGAAGGGCAAAAAAAAAAUUCCGAGAAAAUUUACUGCAAGAAAUUAUGAACAAUUAUCGUGUACCAAAAAAAUUGAUUUAACGUAAGAAAUUAUGAACAAUUAUCAUGUACCAGAAAAAUUAUGUAUUUAAUCUAGAAGAUAUAAUGUCUGUUCAACAUCUCAUAUGAUAACUUUGCUUCUCAUCAAAGUAAAAAAUAAGAGGAAAAUUGAAAAGAUGACAAAGUAUGUAGCUGGUAAUGACAAGAACAUGAUUAAAUGCAUACACAUAAUGUAUUUAUAUCAUUGAUUCUCUGCACACAAUUGAGAUACGAGCUCAACAACUCCUCUCAUGGAUGCAUCAUUCUGCGAAAAAUGAACUCUUUAAAAGCAUAGAAGUAUAUGAUAAUUGAGCGAAAGAAAACAAUUGCAUGAGUUGGUCAAAAUUUGUCUCACCAGGUAUACAACGUCAAAUGCAUCAAGGUAACUUUUGAAGGACAUCUCUGUAUUAUUAUUCCUGACAAGAAAAAGAAAUUAAUAAAAAAACGUAUAAACUAUAUACAAAGAACAUAUAGAAUAUGCCUUGUAACCUUCCUAAUUUUUAAGUUCUUGCUUAUUUAUUAGUUUGGUUAGUCAGGUAAUUGCAAAUUAUAUAUGGAAGUAGCACCUGUAAUUGCAAAUUAAUUGUCCAUCAAAUCACAGAACAGUUGACAUACUUGAGAACACCAAAUAAGAUACUCAAUGAAAAAAUAUAUAUACAUCGAAUUUUGCAUGAAAAUUAUACAUGAAUGAAUGAGUUCAUUACUUGAUAGUAUCUAAAAAGUAACUUACAGAAAUCCAACUGCUAUCUGGUUUUCAUAACUCAGACCAUCAGACAUGCCCAGGUCGCCAACAUGAUCUCCAAGAAGUAACACAUUAGUUCUUUGCUUCAUCAAGACACUAUCAGGAUUAUAUCCAUUAGGAUACCUGAAUUUGUCAUGAAUAGGAGCAGCCAUAUCCAAUGCAUGCUCAUUCUUGUUUAGCACAUGAAUUGUCUUUCCUGAGAUUGGAAUAAUUGCAGCAAAGCAGGACAGACCGAGGAUUAGAAAAUGAAGAAUAAAACUCAUCAAUAAAAUUGUAUAAAGGGUGAGUAUGGGUUUUGUUUCCGGUAAUAAGAUCAAAGAAUUUCCAUGCCAAGUAAGACAUGUAAAAAAAUGGAUACAAACUACAUCAAACCAUGUCGAGAAUGCUAACAAAUGGCCAGACCCUUUUUUUGGCUGCCCUGGGUUGCAUAAGAACUUGCCAACUGACACGACAUGAAAUCGUAUUGCAUCAGAAAGACAACAACACCCCUGUGCCAUGAAAUGACAAUCCUUAAUAAGACCAUAGAUUCAUCUUGGAUUUACUUUUUCCUAUGCUUAUGCAAAUUUAAUUGAAAAGACAGAUAAGGUCGUUGGUAACUUAUAAAACAAUUCACAAUCUAUUUUGCAAUUUCUGUAUAUAAGCUUUCUCAUGAUUAAUACCAUAUACUUAUCAAGAUUUAGCUUCUCAAUGGAAGCAAAACGUCCAUGUAGGACAUUACGUCUUUGUUGUUGUUGUACAAAAAACAAAACCAUAUGAUAUAGUGAAGUGAACAUGCACAGACAAAGUUUUAGGCUAUGACAUUUAUGUUCAAAAAAGCAAAGCCAUAUGACAUAAGGAAUGCAGACUUGUAAACUGUUUAAGAUAAGGUGAAACUAAAAGGCACAAAACUCACCUUUAAAGGCAACAAGGCAGCCUUUUUCAUCAAAAACCAUUCUGUUGGAAACAACUUUGAUAUUCUUGAAAGAUCUAUGUAGUUUCUGCCUAAAAACCUGAUAAAUUAUUUUUAAAAAGUUAAUAAGGAAAAACUUGUCUGCAUUGCAAUGUGGUUCAUAAACUAAUAAGAGCAUAGAAAUUCCACUCGAUCAGAACCUCUUCAAUGAUGUCUGCAAGGCCUGCGGAAAAGACAAGGACAGGCACAUCUAGUUCCUGCACAAUGAGCAAAAGAGUUUAUUUAGUUACUCUUACGAGGACCCAGCAUGAAUCUUUAUUUGUUUUAUUUAGUGAACUAUGAAAAUUUUUGUGUGAAAACUUAGCAGCAGAUACCGAAAGGAAAAGUCAAAAUUUACCAGCAGAGCGUCUCCCCAACCUGUGAGCCCACAAGUAAGCUCAAGUUUCUCACAGCCAUGUGAGAGGAGUGUUUUUCGAAGGGUAUUUGGAACAAAUAACAUUAGCUUUUUUUUAUCUUGAUCACCUACUUGCUUGUGGAUGGAUGCAGCAUGACACUUUUGAGAGUGAGCCAUGGAAGCCAUACAAGGUAAAUAGAGCAAUUCCUUUCCUUUUUCUUUUCCUUCUCAUGGGUCUGGCAAAACCUUACUUGCUAGUUAGACUUAGGCAGUUUACGUUCCAAAUCCUCUUCCUAUCCUUCUCUACCAACACCAAGAUGGCAGGUCCGUCCCUAUUAUCAAAGGUAUCUGACAAUUGGAAAAGUGACAGCCAGCUAAUACCCAAGAAUUCCAAGAUAAAGGGAGAUCUAACAGCUGUGAAGCCUAUUCUACUUUCUCCUCUGUUCUUUUCAAUUUUGUUUACCUCCUAUUCUUUACUUUCCCUGUCCUCAUGUGCUCCUUUUUCUCUCCAGGAGGAGGGACCCAGGCAGCAAUCUCCUGCAUCCCCUAAAAUAGGCAGGAUAAAGAAGGGUUCUAAACAAAGGGACCAGGAUGCACAGUAAUCAAUGAGGCAAACUUAUUAUAGUAUGGGCCACAGAUAGGAUAAGACAAGAGACGGGGUUACUCAGAUUUUUUAAGCUCUUCAAUGAUAGCAACUGCCAAUCCAAUUAGAGCACUGGUUGAAUUCUAAAUACCUGGUCUUCGUGGCAAAACCAAGACUCACACUAUAAGACUUGAAAGGAGCAAAUCUCUGUGUUACUUAACAAUAGCCAAUUUACAAAAAAAAAAAAACAGAUCUAGUUGCCAAAAUUGUAGUUCAGAGGAUAGAUAAAUUAAUUCCAUGCUCGCAUCUGUGGUGGCUGAAAUUGUGUUAUACAUAUCAGUGUUACAGUAACUAAGUGUCUAUAGUACUAAUUAAAUCUCAAUGAUAUUAGCUAUCAUACGAGUAUAAUUCUUUUUCCGCUUCAGAAGAAUAUUAUGAUUUAUAGUACACAUUCUCGAGUCUAGUAGAAUGGCAGUUGCUGAUGUGGCAUAGGUAGUAAGAUCUCUUUUUUUCAAACUACACAGCCAACAAAACAUGCCAUCAAUCUAUACAAGAAAAUAAAGAACCCAAAGGAGCUCCUUUAGAAAGCUUGCGAGGAAACCUUUUCAAAACCAUAGUGGCUGUUAUAGAAGUUUAUGAGUGAUGCAGAACACGCCUUGUUGUACGUCUAAACCCACAACUUUCAACAAGUAAAAGAAACUAGAGAAACUACAACAUAAAAAUCCUACACAAAUGCUAUAAGGGUAGCUUAAAAUAAUAAAAUCAACUCAAUAGUUAUGUAUUAUAGACUAUUUAUGAAUUAAAAAUUAAAACUUUAAGCAGCCAUUUAGCCCACUCAACCAUUGAUGAAAAAAACAGUAUACUGAUGAAAUCUUCUUAGAAUUUAACAUAUGAUCAAUAUUUAUACAACCAAAGAAUGUUUUGUGCACAAGUAAUUAGUCUGCACAAUCUUCAUAUAAACUAAGUGCAACCAGAAGAUCAAGAUAUUGAACAAGUAGUCUGCACAAUGUACAAAUAGAAGGCAACCAGAAGAUCAAUACAAGUGGGCUACUAUUUCACAUCCAUCCAGUCUAAACUGUAUCAACUAUUUUAAACUAGCCAUUCCAAAAGUCUCUUUUGCGGAGAAAGUGUUGACAGAUCAGUUGAUGAACAUGAUAAACAAAUAUUUUCCAUUACACAAGAUUAAUUUCUGAAAAUCUGCCCUUCCACAUUUCAUAUCUAAUAAAGUGCUCUUGUUCAAAGAUAAGAAACAUCCCCACUAGGGGUCGCUUCCUUUUUUCUGUGCUUUUAUGUGUAUGCUGGUGUGUGGGUGAUGAUUCGGUUGUGGGGUAAGGGGUUGCAAAUAUCAAAUAUCUAUGAGUAGUUUGAGCACCUAAAACACAUUUAAUCAAUUUAAUAUAUUUAGGAAAUCUAUUAUUAGCAUGCAACAUCCACCAAAUAAAUUUGUAAUAUUGCUUUUGAUGUCUAUCAGUAUUGACAUGAUGACAGGUUUGCUCUUUUUAGGAGGAACAUUAUGAUAAAAGACGGACGUUCUACCAAAGCCCAGAAGAUACAAACUGUACUAGUUCUAUGAUAUCCUAGAAGGUUGUACCAAUCAUGAUCAUUCUACAGUGAGUUCCACAGCUCACAUACUGCUUAAUUGGACAAACAGGCCAAACGUUACAGGAUCUGUGAAAUAUUAGACCAACCUUAGUUAUAUGAGAUUCUAGGUGCAUAUGGCCAUUUGACAAAUUUGAUCUUCAACAAGAUCAUAACCAAUUUCUUAACAAGCAACCAUUUGAAAGGAUAAAAUAAGUCGAAUGCUAGCUUUCAGAUACAGGAUACUUCACGUGUUGUGAGUGAUUACAAAUAAAGAAAGCUGGCUGGCAUUAGUGUCUGGUGUAAUGGCUAUUCUUAAAUAACAUAUUUAAGCAAGCUACUCUGCUGCCAAUAUCUAUUGCAUAACGCAUAAACAUGUAUAUUGGAAUAUGGAAAUAUGCAUGCCACAUGUCACUAUUUAAUAUGAAUAACAAAAAAAUACACAUUGAUAACAAUCUACUACUUGAAAAAAAUAGUGGUGAGGUAAUAUGAAUGAUCAAAUUGUAAUCUUUAAGCACCAACACAGCUAACUUUUAGAGAACAGUCCAAAUAUUUGUAAAAUUGGUUUGUAAUCUUCCAAAUAUUCUAUGCUGCCCUUGGCAAGGUGCCUAGACAAUAGAAAAUAUCCUUUAGCUGGACCUAUAUUAAACACAAUAGUUUCUGCCAGCUCCUAAUCGUGAUGACUAGUUCAAAUAGUAGUACUAUUUAUUUCAUACCCAUUAAAACUAAUGCCCUUUAUUAAGUUGAAGUCUAUGGUAACUAACUUAGAUAUAAGUCUUCAUGGGAAGGAAAGGCUGAUAGAAGCAGUGACCACAUAAAAACCUAGAAUUGAGGAUCAAAUAAAUGAAAAGAUGAUUAUGAAGAAACUUUCUUCCAAGCACCAGUUAAAAAACCUUUCUAAUUUGUCAAGCAAAUUAUUUUCUUAUCUAUAUCUUCUUUAAGAAAUAGUCUCAGAUUCUAUUCAUGCCAUCUAUAAGUGGUCCUGUAUAUGGAGUUAUUAACAGGGUGAUCUUAUAGUGACAUCAUAUGAGAAUCAAUAUUGAUCAUAAUAUCAUAUUACUUAGUGGAAGUAUAUGCAUGUCGUGCUUACCGAAAAGUGUUUAUUGCUUAAAUCAUCAAAACUACCAGCUUAUGAUGCUUUAACUUGCCAUUCCAAGACCGCUAAGAUACUGAUAAACCAGGUGCAACCUAUCUAUAUAGCUUGAUAUCAUUAAAAUAAAUAAAUAAAUACCAACCAGUACCAACAAAUAGGUAGGAUCAAUGUAUUUCCUGAAUUGUCAUUAUAAAUAAAUAACUGAUUUAUAUAGGUUGGUCCAAUCAGUAUUCCUCUUCUAAAGCAACCUUAAAAUUUUCAUUAUAUAUUUUCUGAAUAACCAAUAAUUGCAAGUGAUUUUUAUAGAACUAAAGUUCUAACAUACUAUAAAUUUAUUUUAUAUUUCAUGAAUAAAAUGCUUUACCAUUUAAUUCUGACCUCACCACUACAAAGUUAUCCAUACUAUCUCUCUCCUCAUCUCCUAGCAAUCAGGAUAUGGAAAAAUGAAUCAUAAACAAUGACAAGCUCCAAAAAAAACUUGUUUAAUACUAAUUAGGUAAAUUGACAUAUCCCAAAGGUCAUAUACAAACUCCAUACCUCCAAUAACUCAAACAGCUCAACAACGCCAUCUCUAAAAGCAAUUGUAGCCUCAGAGACAGAUUUCUUUAUUGCAUCAAAGGAAAGGCCUCCCUCGAUAAGAAGACCAUGUGUCUUCUCCCACCUGCAGGUUCAAAGAACAUCAAGUUUCAAAGUUGCAGGAUAUGAAAUCUUAGGUGCCUGUGCACUUAACCAACUCAAAUGUUAAUUGUUAAUUAAAAAUGAGUAAAUAAGUAAUACAGUUAAAGGUACACCACAUG